CCUACGGGAGGCUGCAGUGGGGAAUAUUGCACAAUGGGCGCAAGCCUGAUGCAGCCAUGCCGCGUGUGUGAAGAAGGCCUUCGGGUUGUAAAGCACUUUCAGCGGGGAGGAAGGCGGUGAGGUUAAUAACCUCAUCGAUUGACGUUACCCGCAGAAGAAGCACCGGCUAACUCCGUGCCAGCAGCCGCGGUAAUACGGAGGGUGCAAGCGUUAAUCGGAAUUACUGGGCGUAAAGCGCACGCAGGCGGUCUGUCAAGUCGGAUGUGAAAUCCCCGGGCUCAACCUGGGAACUGCAUUCGAAACUGGCAGGCUAGAGUCUUGUAGAGGGGGGUAGAAUUCCAGGUGUAGCGGUGAAAUGCGUAGAGAUCGGGAGGAAUACCGGUGGCGAAGGCGGCCCCCUGGACAAAGACUGACGCUCAGGUGCGAAAGCGUGGGGAGCAAACAGGAUUAGAUACCCGUGUAGUC
rnacentral:rRNA from 1 species